rnacentral:misc_RNA from 1 species
GUAUAAGGUUUAUUGGACAGUGAAGUCCGAUAAUAACAUUCAUAGACAUACUGAUGGUGUAUAUAAAGACAUAGACCGGAAAUGUAAGGAAAGCCGACUUUGACGCACAGCAAUCCUCAAACCGAGUUUUCCUCGAGAGAUAUCCAGGUCUACAAAAGGUGCACAGGUGGUAAAAGAAAGGUUGGCGUUAGGUGUGCACAUGCUCCAAAAAGCCAGCAACAACCCAACCAAGCUUAUUCAAUAAUGAUCCUUCCGCAGGUUCACCUACGGAAA